UCUUUUGGUAUCUUCAUCUGUAAAGUGGGGAUAGAUGCCCCACCCAGAGCUGUUGAGAAGAUUUAAAGGGCCAGCAGAGAACUUGCCUGGAGGACAAAGUAUAUACAAGGGCAUGGCCAUCCUCAGGCUCACAGGAAGCCCCUUAUUUAGGGCUCACCCCAGGGCCCUGCAUCCUUCCCCUGAUUACAGCCUCCCCCAAACCAUUCUUCCUUCUGGCCUUCUGAGUUGGAGCUAGGUAAGGCUCGUCCUCACUGGGACUUCCAAGGUGAACACAAAUGUCCUCUGUCUCUAGCUCUCAACUCGACCACUCACUUGCUAUGUGACCUUGUAGGCCACUUAGCCUAUCGAGGCCUCAGAUCCUCUAUCUUACUUCAUAAGGUAAACCUUGCUCCAUGACAGGAGUUGAAAAUACAGCCAGGUGGGGUGGUGCACACCUGUAGUACCAACUACUUGGGAGGCUGAGAUGGGACGAUCGCUUGAGCCCAGGAGUUCGAGGCUGUAGUGCACGAUUAUCAUACCUAUGAAUAGCCUCCACACUCCAGCCUGGGCAACAUAGCGAGACCUCAUGUCUAAUAAAUAAAAAUUUAAAAGGCUGGGAAUGGCGGCACACCUGUAGUCCCAGCUACUCAGGAGGCUGCAGCAGGAGGAUUUCUUGAGCCCAGGAGUUUCAGGCCAUCCUGGGCAAUACUAUGAGACCACAUCUCAAAUAAAUAAAUAAAUAAACCUGCAACCCUCGUUUGCCUUCUUUGGGGUUAAAAAAAUACAAAAAAGAGGGGGCUAUGAGGUCUAAAAUGUGUGGUAUUAUGGGGGCAGUGGCGGAAUGGGGAAAGGGUAAGAGUAGUGAUGUCUCCCUUUGGAACAGGGAGAACA
rnacentral:lncRNA from 1 species